GACGUAGGGCGCAAGCGUUGUCCGGAUUUAUUGGGCGUAAAGAGCUCGUAGGCGGCUUGUUGCGUCGUCCGUGAAAACCCGCAGCUCAACUGCGGGCUUGCGGACGAUACGGGCAGGCUGGAGUUCGGUAGGGGAGACUGGAAUUCCUGGUGUAGCGGUGAAAUGCGCAGAUAUCAGGAGGAACACCGGUGGCGAAGGCGGCUUGCUGGGCCAGUUCUGACGCUGAGGAGCGAAAGCGUGGGGAGCGAACAGG
rnacentral:rRNA from 1 species